UCCUUCUUUGUGGUGGAUCAACAAGCACAACUAUGAGUUAGCGAACGGUCUGAAGUUGCUGGAUUCCGGUCUUUCCGUUGUGAAUCGGAUCAGUUGCCAUCACAGACGACUGAAGGAGAGUUAGAGGACUUUGAUUCGAGACGAGC